rnacentral:misc_RNA from 1 species
GCCGAAAUGAAGCUUUCAAACAAAAUCCUCCAUGGCCACACCAUGCAUGAAGCUUUCUCUCUCCAUCAUCAAGCUAUAAUUUCUGCAAUUAUUCUUCAUUAAAGUUGAUCUACACAUCUUGGGAAACCUAUAGGCAGCAAAAAGUAGAGAAAAUUCCGAGGUUUUAUCAAGGUGAAGUUGAGGUAUUAGAGACACAACUGGGGAGCCCAGCAGACCUACGA